rnacentral:rRNA from 1 species
UACGGAGGGGGCUAGCGUUGUUCGGAAUUAUUGGGCGUAAAGAGCUCGUAGGCGGUCUGUCACGUCGGCUGUGAAAACCCGAGGCUCAACCUCGGGCCUGCAGUCGAUACGGGCAAACUAGAGUACUGCAGGGGAGACUGGAAUUCCUGGUGUAGCGGUGAAAUGCGCAGAUAUCAGGAGGAACACCGGUGGCGAAGGCGGGUCUCUGGGCAGUAACUGACGCUGAGGAGCGAAAGCGUGGGGAGCGAACAGG